UACGUAGGUGGCAAGCGUUGUCCGGAUUUACUGGGCGUAAAGAGCGCGCAGGCGGUCGUUCAAGUCGCGUGUGAAAGCCCCCGGCUCAACUGGGGAGGGUCACGCGAUACUGAUCGACUGGAAGGCAGGAGAGGGUAGUGGAAUUCCCGGUGUAGUGGUGAAAUGCGUAGAUAUCGGGAGGAACACCGGUGGCGAAGGCGGCAUCCUGGACCGACACUGACGCUGAGGAGCGAAAGCGUGGGGAGCAAACAGG
rnacentral:rRNA from 1 species